UUCGCGGUUCUUUUCCUGUCUACCUGGCCAUCCAUAAAAAUUCAGUCUUCACUCUUAGGUUGUUUGCAACAAGUCAGAGACAGUUUAUUCUCAAGCAAUUGCAAGGGGGAGAGUGCGCAUGGACAGGGAUUCCCCCUUCCUAGGCAGGUCUCCGCCCGAUAAACAAUUAGGACAAGCAUUUAUACCUUUUG